rnacentral:rRNA from 1 species
GCCUACGGGGGGCAGCAGUGGGGAAUAUUGCACAAUGGGGGGAACCCUGAUGCAGCGACGCCGCGUGAGUGAAGAAGUAUUUCGGUAUGUAAAGCUCUGUCAGCAGGGAAGAAGAAAGACGGUACCUGACCAAGAAGCCCCGGCUAACUACGUGCCAGCAGCCGCGGUAAUACGUAUGGUGCAAGCGUUAUCCGGAUUUACUGGGUGUAAAGGGAGCGCAGGCGGCGCGGCAAGCCUGAUGUGAAAGCCCGCGGCCCAACCGCGGGACUGCAUUGGGAACUACCGGGCUGGAGUGCCGGAGAGGG